ACGAACGCUGGCGGCGUGCUUAACACAUGCAAGUCGAACGGAAAGGCCCCUUUGGGGGUACUCGAGUGGCGACCGGGUGAGUAACACGUGAGUAACCUGCCCUUGACUUCGGGAUAACUUCAGGAAACUGGGGCUAAUACCGGAUAGGAAUCCUUGCUGCAUGGUGGGGGUUGGAAAGCUUCGGCGGUUUUGGAUGGACUCGCGGCUUAUCAGCUUGUUGGUGGGGUAGUGGCUUACCAAGGCUUUGACGGGUAGCCGGCCUGAGAGGGCGACCGGCCACAUUGGGACUGAGAUACGGCCCAGACUCCUACGGGAGGCAGCGGUGGGGAAUAUUGCACAAUGGGCGGAAGCCUGAUGCAGCAACGCCGCGUGCGGGAUGACGGCCUUCGGGUUGUAAACCGCUUUCAGCAGGGGCGAAGCUUGUGGUGACGGUACCUGCAGAAGAAGCACCGGCUAACUACGUG
rnacentral:rRNA from 1 species